rnacentral:rRNA from 1 species
UACGUAGGUGGCAAGCGUUGUCCGGAUUUAUUGGGUUUAAAGGGUGCGUAGGCGGCCUAUUAAGUCAGGGGUGAAAGACGGUAGCUUAACUAUCGCAGUGCCUUUGAUACUGAUGGGCUUGAAUGUACUUGAGGUAGGCGGAAUGUGACAAGUAGCGGUGAAAUGCAUAGAUAUGUCACAGAACACCAAUUGCGAAGGCAGCUUACUAAAGUAUGAUUGACGCUGAGGCACGAAAGCGUGGGGAUCAAACAGG